GUCUCUCCUGCAUCGCAACUCGUUCCUCGUUUCCUUGCCGGUGGUGAUCCAGAGGAUCCGCCACUCUCCUUGCCCACGAGGAUCCUCCAAGAAACAGCAAGAGAUUCUCGCAAAGCACACUGGGCAUUUCCCCUUCUCCCCUGCCGAGAGCAAUUCUUGUGGGGGCGGAUUGGUAUCGCCGCAAUGUACACGAGGAGGUUCAGGACUAAACUUCAGAGAUGGGGAUCGGUUUUCUAUCACCGCCGCAAUAAUGGGUUUGGUGCCCGACGCUAUGUAUUGACCCCUGAAGCUUCGGCGAGCGAAUUCGCUCCAUCGCUCUCUGCUCUGCUCGGGAGAUGCCUGUACAGCCCAAAUGGUUCCGGGCAGCUGCAUUUGUCGUCCCACGGUGCGAAUUCGGAGUUUUCCCGGCGGAAUUUCGGGUCUUUCAGGUGUUCGAAUGGUGGGUCUGUCGCGGGCUUCUCGAGCGUGGCGGAGAGUGCCAAGAACGAUGAUGAGGAUGGGAAAGAUAACGGCUCGUGUGGUGGCGACGAGAAAGGGUCCAGGCUCGGGGCUGCGUCUUGGGUCGACUUGUAUUUGCCGAGGAAGGCGAGGCCUUACGCUCACCUUGCUCGCCUGGAUAAGCCUAUUGGGACUUGGCUGCUUGCUUGGCCUUGUAUGUGGUCAAUCACGCUGGCAGCAAACGCAGGAAGCCUUCCUGAUCUUAAGAUGUUGAUGCUUUUUGGUUCUGGAGCUUUGCUGUUGAGAGGUGCUGGAUGCACUAUCAAUGACCUCCUCGAUAGGGACAUUGAUGUGAUGGUGGAACGAACAAAGUCCCGGCCAAUCGCAAGUGGUCUUUUGACACCAUUUCAAGGGCUUUGUUUCCUUGGGUUUCAAUUGCUUUUAGGUCUUGGAAUUCUUCUACAGUUGAAUAAUUACAGCCGUAUACUGGGAGCUUCUUCUUUGUUGCUUGUCUUCUCCUAUCCCUUGAUGAAAAGGUUCACGUUUUGGCCGCAGGCCUAUCUAGGUUUGACUUUCAAUUGGGGAGCUUUACUCGGAUGGACUGCUGUUAGAGGAAGUUUGGAUCCUUAUGUCGUGCUUCCUCUAUAUUUUUCUGGAGUUUUUUGGACUCUUGUGUAUGACACUAUAUAUGCACACCAGGAUAAAGAAGAUGAUGUUAAAGUGGGUGUAAGAUCAACGGCAUUGAGAUUCGGAGAUUUGUCGAAGGAAUGGAUUUCUGGCUUUGGAAUCGCUUGCAUCAGCAGUCUUGCACUCUGUGGAUAUAAUGCUGAUAUUGGAUGGCCAUACUAUGCAUUUCUUAUUGCUGCUUCUGGACAUAUAGCGUGGCAGAUAUCAACAGUUGAUCUAUCAUGCCGUGCCGAUUGUAACCGAAAAUUUGUGUCCAACAAGUGGUUUGGAGCCCUUGUAUUUGGAGGAAUUUUGUUUGGAAAGCUUGCAACGUAGAGUGUUUCAGGCAACCUCUUUGAUUGGUUCAUUGCAAGAGAGGUGUUAAACUGCUCGAACAUUGAUGUCUUCUGCUCUUCAGACUUGCUGAGGUGACUCUGAAGCUGGUCUAUCUUAGAAAGAAGCAGAGGAAGCAAAUCGAAGGACAAAUUCCUGCCCCACGCAAGCAAACCCUUUGACCUUCAUCUCUUGUGACAACUCACCUUUGGAAACUCCUGGUCUCAAAACUUCUCUAGUGUAACUUUGUUGUUCAAACGUUGAUCAUCGCCAUCAAAUCAAGCAACAACUCGGUCGGUGGUGAACAGAUCAGAUUUCGUAGGCAGCUAUUCUCCUCAGACAAUAAGGUACUUCUGCUCC